AGCAGUCGCCGCGGGAAUACAGAGGGUGCGAGCGUUAAUCGGAUUUACUGGGCGUAAAGCGUGCGUAGGCGGCUUCUUAAGUCGGAUGUGAAAUCCCUGAGCUUAACUUAGGAAUUGCAUUCGAUACUGGGAAGCUAGAGUAUGGGAGAGGAUGGUAGAAUUCCAGGUGUAGCGGUGAAAUGCGUAGAGAUCUGGAGGAAUACCGAUGGCGAAGGCAGCCAUCUGGCAUAAUACUGACGCUGAGGUACGAAAGCAUGGGGAGCAAACAGGAUUAGAUACCCCUGUAGUCCCUGUCUCUUAUAA
rnacentral:rRNA from 1 species